AUCGGGUCGGGUUGGGGGGCAACAGCUCCAGCAGAGGACCCCAAACGUCCCUUUCUGGGACGGCUCUACCAGCUCUGACUGGGGGACCAAGGCUUUCAGGCCAGUGUGCAGACGUAGUCCAACACCACCCAGGGGGGGGGGGCGCCCAGAGGGCAUCCUUACCAGAUGCCCCAACCACCUCAACUGGCUCCUUUUAGCGCAAACACUUUGCCCUCCGGCCGACGUUCCGCUCCGUUCCAGCGGUGCAGCCGCUGUGUAGACCCACCUCCCCCCGACUGCUCUCCAUGAAAACCACAAGCAGGAUGUCAGCUGACCAUGAGGACACUGUGAAGCAGCGGACAGUUGGUCGUCAUGGAGACACGCCUGCUAUCGUUUCCUGUUUGGAGAUGAAGG
ensembl:lncRNA